UUUUCAGAUACCCAACGGUGACGUCAUGGCAAAUUUGGCCAACUGCAAAGCCCCGACAGGGGUAGCAUGGUCGACAGGUUAUCAGGGCGGCUAUGCAAAGAUUGAAGGCACUCUCUCAACGAAUGGGCAGUGGACCAGCAUGUACGAUGGGUGUUCCGCAAAUCCAAACAAAUUUGUCGGGGAGACGGUGUCUUUCCGUUUCGGUGGUGUAAGUGAACACACCGGCGAGUUCGUUCACACACAUUGUAAACCAUACAAGAUUGACCAGAACAACAGCAUCACGUCGCUCUGGGACUCGGACAAUGUUCGCGCCAUAUGGAUCCGGCCCUAAAGCCCCAACCAAGUUCGUCCCAAGCGGCGACAGAGAAGAGGAUAUCCCCAUGACAAAAAGCAAUCAACAGCCAUUGCUCUUGUCCGGGAGUUUUUCUUUUUACUUUCAAAGAUAGAUCAUAGUAAACUCCUGUGAUUCGGGAGUUGUGUGUGAACCUUUAAAUUAAACAAAAGUAACACAAAGUACAACUACAUCACAACUGACGAUCUAAAGUGGUAAUUUGGGGAGCUACGUAGCCUAUAUACUUAAAAGAUGUAAAUGUGUUCUUGCUUAUCUCGUAUAUACGGAUGGUCUGUGUAAUGCAGUUUUUUUGGCACAACCUUUGAAAAUGCACACACCUUGUCAUUUAGAGUAAUUAUUGUUUGCCAUUGCAGCUGGCAUUUCCGAAGGUAGUAGUGCUUACUGCUUUGAUUCUGAUAUAGUUUCCAUAUUUAUAAGCAAGUUGUGUCAUUAUAGACAGAACAACGUUAUAUUGUAUUGUUUUACUUAAAGGAAAUGGUGGAGUGUGUGAUCGUUUGAUCUAAAUUUCUUUUCAGUCGGAGAUUGUAAGUUAGAUAAGCACUUGGCAAUGAGCCAAGGAGUAGCCCUUGGAACACUAAAGCUACAAUCUGAAGAGUAUCUUCUCUAAGAGACAUCAAGAAAACAGCGACUCCUAUACAAAGUAUUAACAAAGCAUGCAGAAGUGUACAACGUUACAGAAAAAGUGCAGCUUUGAAAAAUUGGUUACCUUCAACUACUAGCUGAUAAGAGAAUAUUAUUAUAGAUUUUUGAACCUUUUUGUGUGCAGUCAAGUGGAUUAUUGUGUUUUUGUGCUGUAGAGAACACAUAGAUAUGUUAAUAACCUUCUACUAUUGGUAGAAAGCCUAAUUCACUGAUAUUACUUAUAUUCCAUAUCACAUACAUGUAUAUACAAAUUAAAUCUAAUCACGAAAUAAUUCUUUCCCUGUCGCCUUGAAACAUGCCAUGUUAUAGAAUAGGAUAAAUAUUAUAGGAUAUAACAAUACCAUAUUAUAGCCAGUAGGAGAUAAUCCACGUUGUUCGCUGUCUGCUUUAAAUUUAAGGUUCAUAAUUGCAGGUGAUUUCGCUGUUAUAGCUCAUAUAUUAAUUUUAGUAAACUGCUUUCGACAUCAAACGAAUUAAGGAAACAGGAGUCAAUCCAAAUUCGAUUCCUUUCAAGGUGAUUUGAGGAUGGCGAGCAUCUGCAAUCAGGAUUGAUCGUUUACUUGUUAACGCGUAAGCUUACGACUACCGUGUGUCGUUGGGCAUCGCUAGUGCUUCACAUGAGAAGACUUUGUUUUAGCUCACAUGCAUUGGGUUUAACAUUUGUGCGAAUCUAAAAAGCAGAAACUUAGGAGAAAAUGGAGAUACAUGUAUUCCAAAUCUGACAUGGAUUUAGGGUUACACAAUGCCGCUACUUAACUUGAGUAUAAGGCUAAGCGUGAAAUUUGCACAUACACAAUUCACAUACAUAACGAUCAAUUAAAUUUCGGGAUUGCAAACUCAUUGUGCACUACAGGAAAGUUGCACGAUCAUUUGUUCAAAAUGAUCAUUUGGUAACUGGCUAAGUAAUUCAUUUGCUAAUCUCCUUGCAAAGAAAGUCAACACAGUUUGUUCAAUACUGGACAUCAUUCCAAUAAUUGGUAUGGUCACCGGUGAAACUGCACAGAAUGCCUCAAAGUUUUUCAUGUUCUCGUGAACAAAGUAGUUAUAACAAUGGAAAAUGAAUCCCUUGCAUAAGGGUCAAACGGUGCAGCCUUGACUUUUCCAACUGGUUCUUGUUUUCAUGAGAGUUUCGUGGAACCAACCCUAACUAAUCAAGUUGCUAAGGAGGUGCUGGGACAUUGUACACUAUUUGGAAUUGUUAAAUGACAUAUUGACACCAGAAUUAUUUGGUACAUUUCACAGAGCAAUAGGCCCUAACUCUCCAAAAUUACAACAACGCUUUACUAUAGGGUAGCCAUCUUUCUUUAACUAUUGAAAGUAAUGUAACCAAACUGAGACUGAAAGAGAAAACUAGUCUGGUUCCUUGAAUCAAUAUGUGAAGUUAUAUUACUUUUGUCAUUUGGUGUACAAGGGCAAGAAUAAAAUGGCACCCUUAUGAUAAAGGGAUGUACGGCAUAAGCCUAACCCGUGGCGUGGCUAGGGCUAAAUGCCUGGGCCCGGGGGCACCCGUGGUGCACACCUUUUUUUUUUUCAAGGGGACACCACUAGAAAAUGAGAUUUCAAAUCGGGGAGGGGCACCUGGAGGGCACGAGCGUCCGCUGCCUCCCCCCCAUGUACGCCACUCCUGUUUCCUGUUUAAAGAAUCUUGGCUUUUGAGUUGAUGAAUAUAAGUUGAAUGUACAAAAUGAUAAGUCGUGCAUGGCUUAUUUUCUCCAGUCGUAUGAUAUUUGUGUUAUUAAGUGGUAAUUAAAAUAAGAAAGUGGUGACCGGAGAUCACUAAGGCAAGAGGAUGCGGCUUAUUAAACAACGAUUAGCAACAAAUGGUGAAAAGUAAAAGUGGAAUGACACGAAAAAGAAGGGAAACGGAAUAGAAAUCACCAAUUUACUUGAAGACACCUCGGGAUUCACC